ensembl:snoRNA small nucleolar RNA SNORD35
UGCAAGUGAUGUAUUAUCUCACGAUGGUCUUCUGAUUUGGAAGCUUUGAGGACACCGCCUAAUGGCAACGCUGAUGCGCGCGC